GACGAACUCUGGCGGCGUGCUUAACACAUGCAAGUCUAACGCUCGUGGCAACACGGGAGAGGCAGACGGGUGAGUAACGCGAGGGAACCUACCUCAUGGGGCGGAAUAACUCAGGGAAACUUGAGCUAAUACCGCAUGUUCCCUUCGGGGUAAAGAUUUAUCGCCAUGGGAUGGGCCCGCGUCGGAUUAGCUAGUUGGUGGGGUAACGGCCUACCAAGGCGACGAUCCGUAGCUGGUCUGAGAGGAUGAUCAGCCACACUGGGACUGAGACACGGCCCAGACUCCUACGGGAGGCAGCAGUGGGGAAUAUUGGACAAUGGGCGCAAGCCUGAUCCAGCCAUGCCGCGCGAGUGAUGAAGGCCUUAGGGUUGUAAAGCUCUUUCGCCGGUGAAGAUAAUGACGGUAACCGGAGAAGAAGCCCCGGCUAACUUCGUGCCAGCCGCCGCAGUAACAC
rnacentral:rRNA from 1 species